GCAGCCGCGGUAAUACGUAGGGGGCAAGCGUUAUCCGGAAUUACUGGGUGUAAAGGGAGCGUAGACGGCGUAUCAAGUCUGAUGUGAAAGGCAGGGGCUCAACCCCUGGACUGCAUUGGAAACUGGUAUGCUCGAGUGCCGGAGGGGUAAGCGGAAUUCCUAGUGUAGCGGUGAAAUGCGUAGAUAUUAGGAGGAACACCAGUGGCGAAGGCGGCUUACUGGACGGUAACUGACGUUGAGGCUCGAAAGCGUGGGGAGCAAACAGGAUUAGAUACCCC
rnacentral:rRNA from 1 species